GAGGGUGUAGCUCAAGUGGUAGAGCACAUGCUUAGCAUGCACAGGGUCCUGGGUUCAAUCCCCAGUACCUCCU
rnacentral:tRNA from 1 species